GGAAUAUUGGACAAUGGGCGCAAGCCUGAUCCAGCCGUGCCGCGUGGGUGAAGAAGGCCUUCGGGUUGUAAAGCCCUUUUGUCCGGAAAGAAAAGUCUUCGGUUAAUACCCGGGGAUCCUGACGGUACCGGAAGAAUAAGCACCGGCUAACUUCGUUCCAGCAGCCGCGGUAAUACGAAGGGUGCAAGCGUUACUCGGAAUUACUGGGCGGAAAGCGUGGUGAGGUGGUUCGUUAAGUCCGAUGUGAAAGCCCUGGGCUCAACCUGGGAAUGGCAUUGGAUACUGGCGGGCUAGAGUGCGGUAGAGGGCAGUGGAAUUCCCGGUGUAGCAGUGAAAUGCGUAGAGAUCGGGAGGAACAUCUGUGGCGAAGGCGACUGCCUGGACCAGCACUGACACUGAGGCACGAAAGCGUGGGGAGCAA
rnacentral:rRNA from 1 species